AAAUUGAAGAGUUUGAUCAUGGCUCAGAUUGAACGCUGGCGGCAGGCCUAACACAUGCAAGUCGAACGGUAACAGGAAGAAGCUUGCUUCUUUGCUGACGAGUGGCGGACGGGUGAGUAAUGUCUGGGAAACUGCCUGAUGGAGGGGGAUAACUACUGGAAACGGUAGCUAAUACCGCAUAACGUCGC
rnacentral:rRNA from 2 species